UACGUAGGGUGCGAGCGUUGUCCGGAAUUAUUGGGCGUAAAGAGCUCGUAGGUGGUUCGGUAAGUCGGGAUCGUGAAAUCUCCAGGCUCAACCUGGAGGGGUCAUUCGAUACUGCCGUGACUAGGAGGUCGGUAGGGGAGACUGGAAUUCCUGGUGUAGCGGUGAAAUGCGCAGAUAUCAGGAGGACACCGGUGCGAAGGCGGUGGCCUGGGCCGGAACUGACGCUGGAGGAGCGAAAGCGUGGGGAGCAAACAGG
rnacentral:rRNA from 1 species